rnacentral:rRNA from 1 species
UACGUAGGGUGCAAGCGUUGUCCGGAAUUAUUGGGCGUAAAGAGCUCGUAGGCGGUCUGUCGCGUCGGCUGUGAAAACCCGGGGCUCAACCCCGGGCCUGCAGUCGAUACGGGCAGACUAGAGUGUGGUAGGGGAGACUGGAAUUCCUGGUGUAGCGGUGAAAUGCGCAGAUAUCAGGAGGAACACCGGUGGCGAAGGCGGGUCUUUGGGCCAUAACUGACGCUGAGGAGCGAAAGCGUGGGGAGCGAACAGG